GUAUAAGAAAGGCAACACAUUUACUAAAAUUGGAACUAUACAGAGAAGAUUAGCACAGCCCCUACACAAGGAUGACACAAAUUCAUGAAGUGUUCCCUAUUUUU